rnacentral:lncRNA from 1 species
GGCCACCAUUUUCCUCUUCCUCAAUUUCCACCAAAGGUUUAUCCAUCAUUCCCAUUUCCACCAAACACACCAUCACCUACUCCUGUUUAUGACCCACCAGUUGUUGAGACUCCCCCUGUUCCAGUAUACAAUCCUCCUCCGGUUGUUGAGACUCCCCCUGUUCCAGUAUACAAUCCUCCUCCGGUUGUUGAGACUCCCCCUGUUCCAGUAUACAAUCCUCCUCCGGUUGUUGAGACUCCCCCUGUUCCAGUAUACAAUCCUCCUCCGGUUGUUGAACCACCACCAGUUUACAAUCCUCCUCCGGUUUACAAUCCUCCUCCUGUUUACACACCAACACCAAAGCCAGAACCACCAGUAGUCAAGCCUCCUUGUGACCCAAAACCAAAGCCACAGCCACCUGUCUACAAACCUGCUCCCAUUCCGGUUUAUAAGCCAAAGCCAAAGCCGCCAGUCUACAAGCCUGCUCCCGUCCCAGUUUACAAGCCAAAGCCAAAUCCAGAGCCUCCAGUCUACAAGCCUGCUCCCAUUCCGGUUUAUAAGCCAAAGCCAAAGCCACCAGUCUACAAGCCUUCUCCCAUCCCAGUUUACAAACCAAAGCCAAAUCCAGAGCCUCCGGUUUACAAGCCUGCUCCCAUUCCAGUUUAUAAGCCAAAACCAAAACCGCCUGUUUAUAAGCCUGCUCCCGUUCCAGUUUACAAACCAAAGCCAAAGCCACCCGUUUACAAGCCUGCUCCAGUUCCGGUUUACAAGCCAAAGCCAAAGCCGCCAGUCUACAAACCGGCUCCGGUUCCAGUUUACAAGCCAAAACCAGAGCCACCGGUUUACAAGCCAGCUCCGGUUCCGGUUCCAGUUUACAAACCAAAGCCAAAGCCGCCAGUCUACAAACCUUCCCCUGUUCCAGUUUAUAAGCCAAAGCCUGAGCCACCGGUCUACAAACCUGCCCCUGUUCCAGUUUACAAGCCAAAGCCAGAGCCACCGGUUGUCAAGCCUCCUUGUGACCCAAAACCAAAACCAGAGCCACCUGUCUACAAGCCUGCUCCCGUUCCUAUUUACAAACCUAAGCCAGAGCCGCCAGUCUACAAGCCUUCUCCAGUUCCAGUUUACAAACCGGAGCCAAAACCGCCUGUUUAUAAUCCUUCUCCUGUUCCAGAUUACAAUCCAACACCAAAAUCAC